UCAAACUUGGUCAUUUAGAGGAAGUAAAAGUCGUAACAAGGUUUCCGUAGGUGAACCUGCGGAAGGAUCAUUAAAGAUUCGGGUUUCGGCCCUCCUCAUCAGCUGUGCGCUCCGGCUGCACGCUGUUGAAACAAACACACCUGUGAACCUCUUCGGUUGCGGCGCUCCGCGUCGCUUCCGCUUUACAUACAACUACUUGAAGUUCAGAAUGUUUAAACUAUAAAAUAACAACUUUCAACAAUGGAUCUCUUGGCUCUCGCAUCGAUGAAGAACGCAGC
rnacentral:misc_RNA from 1 species